AUCCAGCUGACGAGUCCCGAAUAGUGUGAAACGCACGUCCUGGAU
rfam:Schistosoma mattheei strain Denwood, Zambia genome assembly, scaffold: SMTD_scaffold0013785